UUAUAACCUUAGUGUAUAUUCAGCACUACCAAGGAAUAUACAAAUAUGUUCUUCUCAAAUGGUGUAAAACGAAUUUUAUUGGGAUUCAAAUAGCUUGCUUUUUCUACUCUCAGCUUGAGAAAAGGAAGAGGUUAGAGGGAGAAGGAAUAAACAGCGAAGUGGUGGAUGAUGUGACCCAAAUAAGGCCUGACAAUUCACCUUAGGACCCUGAGGGUGUCUGAGAUCCCUGAGUGGAUGAUUUCACUCUUGUUGGGAAGGGAAAUUUAAGGAAAAGCCCCAAAGGAGGAAAAUGUAAAGGGAAUGCUUUCACAAAACAGAAUUUUGGAUGACACAUUUCCCACCUGUGGACUCACUGGCACACUCCUGACGUCACCCUCCCACAUCAUGAUGCUGUUUGGGAAGAAGUGUGCUCAUCUUGAUCAACCUGCUCACGCCCUUGCGUGUUCCACCUUUGUACGGCAUGGCUUGAAAUUCGAAGUUCUCACCAAGAGGAUCUGAUUGGCCAAGUGUCCGUGAUGUAACAGCCCUCAGCCGUGCCAGGAAGUUUUACCAGGAAGUUAGAUAAAGAGCUUCGGGUGAUUCCUGGAUUCGCGCUCCCCGCAGGAUUGCAGGUGAUGAGGGAGGGUGAUUUCCCAGGACGGUGUUAGGAUGCUGUAAGGGAAGCAGGGGAUGAAAGUCAGGUAGACAAAGUAUGACAAGGGUUUCCCGUGCUCGGCUCACCCUUUCUCUCAUUGCAGCACACGCCCCUCCUCUGCUGGCUGGUCUGCAGUGGGUGGUGGUGUAAAGUUGUGGCCAGCCUCAGUAUGUUUCAGAGUAAAAUGUAAAUGACUCUUCAAACCCGAGUCUUCUUUACUAGUGAGCCACUACGGAAGCCCUGGUUGGGCUAUAUAUAAAUAUAAACUAAAUCACUUUGCUGUGUGCUUGAAGCUAACACAACAUGGAAAAUUAAGUAUAAUUCAAUUAAAAAAUAAACUAAUCUUGAAAGAGUGUAUUUGAUCUGGG
rnacentral:lncRNA from 1 species